rnacentral:rRNA from 1 species
GAUGAACGCUGGCGGCGUGCUUAACACAUGCAAGUCGAACGGAAAGGCCGAAGCUUGCUUCGGUCCUCGAGUGGCGAACGGGUGAGUAACACGUGGGUGAUCUGCCCUGUACUUCGGGAUAAGCUUGGGAAACUGGGUCUAAUACCGGAUAUGACGAUCUCUUGGAUGGGGUUGUGGAAAGCUUUUGCGGUAUGGGAUGAGCUCGCGGCCUAUCAGCUUGUUGGUGGGGUAAUGGCCUACCAAGGCGUCGACGGGUAGCCGGCCUGAGAGGGUGUACGGCAACAUUGGGAAAGAGAAACGGCCCAGACUCCUACGGGAGGCAGCAGUGGGGAAUAUUGCACAAUGGGCGAAAGCCUGAUGCAGCGACGCCGCGUGGGGGAUGACGGCCUUCGGGUUGUAAACUCCUUUCGCAAUCGACGAAGCCUUUUGGUGACGGUAGGUUGAGAAGAAGCACCGGCUAACUACGUG